GGAGAUGGGGAGCCAGACAACAGAAGAGGGGGGUCUGGUAUGGGGAGGCCUCUAACCCUGCUAUCUGACCAGGCUGGGGUCAGGGGCAAGCAGCACCUGGCCAUGCAGGGAAACUGCCACCUUCAGCUCCAUCUGCCCCAGAUUUUUCUCGAAGGUGUGUAUUCAAUCCAAUGAGACGUGAACGCAGGGAGAGCGGGACAACUGUAUGCAGCUCUGACCUGGACGCAGACAAACUCGGAGCAGGAAAAACAGCGUGGGCUGAGCAGAAUUACCACUUGCAAUCCUGAAUCUUACCUAGAAGAAGGCAGAAACUUCCAGAGCGGUACCGCGUGGAAGCCUGGCAUCAGACUGCCCACUGUAGGAAACCUCCCAGCUCCAUCCAGUGCCUACAGGAGCUGGGACACAGUGGAGUUGCUUCAGCGCCACCUCCCUGAACUUGUUAACCGAGCAAAUCCUCCAGGCUCAGCUCCAGCCGCCAGAUCAGAAGCCCUGGAGGUGGCCCUGCAGUUUCCAAAAGCCCUCGAGGGUUUCCGGAUGUGUUUCUCCGUGGGAAACUUCCACCUUUCAAAGACCAAAAGGGCACCAGAUCUCAUUACCUGAUUGUUAUAAGCCACCAUGUGGUUGCUGGGAAUUGAUUGAACUCUGGACUUCUGAAAGAGCAACAGGGUCUCCAGCUGAACCUGGCAAUCAUCCUUUCAGCUAGACUGAAUGGUCUGACAGCAUUUAAGGUCCUUCUAUCU
ensembl:antisense Hnf1aos1 HNF1 homeobox A, opposite strand 1